rnacentral:tRNA from 1 species
GGGCCUGUAGCUCAGCCUGGUUAGAGCGUCUGACUCAUAAUCAGUUGGUCGGAGGUUCAAAUCCUCCCGGGCCCA